rnacentral:rRNA from 1 species
GACGAACGCUGGCGGCGUGCUUAACACAUGCAAGUCGAACGCUGAAGCUCAGCUUUUGUUGGGUGGAUGAGUGGCGAACGGGUGAGUAACACGUGAGUAACCUGCCCCCUUCUUUGGGAUAACGCCCGGAAACGGGUGCUAAUACUGGAUAUUCACUGUUCUUCGCAUGGGGGUUGGUGGAAAGGGUUUUUCUGGUGGGGGAUGGGCUCGCGGCCUAUCAGCUUGUUGGUGGGGUGAUGGCCUACCAAGGCUUUGACGGGUAGCCGGCCUGAGAGGGUGACCGGUCACAUAGGGACUGAGAUACGGCCCAGACUCGUACGGGGGGGAGCAGUGGGGAAUAUUGCACAAUGGGCGCAAGCCUGAUGCAGCGACGCCGCGUGAGGGAUGGAGGCCUUCGGGUUGUGAACCUCUUUCGCUCAUGGUCAAGCCGCAACAAUGGUUGUGGUGAGGGUAGUGGGUAAAGAAGCGCCGGCUAACUACGUG